CCUUGAUUAAUAUUGAACAUCCUCAAUUACCCAGAAUUCUGUAGGGCAAAUUAAUUGACAAAUGAAAUAGAAAUUUAUUCUACUAUCCCUUUUAUAGACAACUUUCUAAAUAAGCGGUGCUAAGAAGUAAAAAUGUUUGAAGCAAAUAGUUUCAAUGACUAUUCUCUUCACAGUUGAAAUUUUUGCAAGGCAUAUGUCAAUGCUUUAUGAGACAGGAAUAACAGAGUGGGAAACUAAUAGAGAGGAAGCAAAGUGAUUUACAGAGUCUUUGAAAGUUUUUCUUUAUAUUUAAGGUUUCUUCUCAAGUUUCAAGUUGAGUGCUUUAAGGUUUUAUAAUUUAAAAUAGGGAGAAAGACCUGACUGUUUCUUCAGUCACAGUUCCUUCCUUCAGUAAGAUUGGCUGUGCUUUGGAACCUUAAUCAAAUAUCCAAGAUACAACCCUCCAUUUUUUCCUCCCUGAGAGAAAUUGCUACAUUCUAGUUACAUCUUAUUAAGCUUGCUCCUUACUUUCCAAGGGAUAUGAAAAAUAUACAGACAUCCAGGGAAGACUCACAUCUGGUCCCAUACCCAUGUAUAGGAGUAAUCGAAUGGUAACUUCUGCUUUUAGCCCCUGGGGCUUCUCUACUACUGCAUGGUGGGAUGCCUAUGGGAACCUACUUAGUCAUCCUAAGACACAUGCCUAAGACAUAUGUCACCCUUUAUGACACACACAUCCCUUAGCAAGUAGCAAGCAUCCAAGUCAGCUCUCAACAUAAUGCUAGGUAGACCGUAUUGAACAACUCCAAGGGGUGCUGUUCACACAAUGAUGUGAAUGGAGCCCACUUAGAAUAGUCAACUGGCAGCUCUGAUCCAAGGACAAGUGCAAGAAAGUGGCAUGCAAUGAAACAGAAAAUAAGUACAGAACAAAGAAAUGAAAGACUUGAAUUUUGAAGCCAAUGGGCAUCAAGGCUGAACCACUCUGUCAUCACGUAGAUCCUGGAGAAGGGCUCCAGUUUCCGGUAGCCUCACUCACUCUAUAUCUCCGGACUGAGAGGUUAUUACAUAUUAAGUGCUGCACUGGGGGGAGGUGGUUUCAGUGCCAGCCCUAUGGAUUCUGGGUAGGCACAGCUGUCUCAGACUCCUGGAGCUGCACAGCUGUGGAUUCAACAUGCACCAGCACUUCCAUUGGGAUGCUAGAGUGGAGCCCUGGGACAACCUAACUCUAUUAUCCUAUCAUCGUUGCCAAGGUAACAGGGGACUGUUGAUUCUACUGUCUGAGAUGAAGGUUAAAACUGGCAAGGAGAGGAAAAACGGGGAGCCAGCAAGACAAAAAACCUGUGUUCAUUUAGAAAUCUAGAGAUUUUGUUUGUUUGUUUUUCUGGUGAGAUUAUAGUUUUGAGUCCACAAACAAACUAGAAAGUUUCUUAAGAACACAUGAGUGGUGCCCAAGAAAGGCUAGGAAAGUUCCCUUGAAGAGAAGGCGUGAUGGGAUAUAAAUUAUGAGCUCUGUGGCUGAAAAAGCACAUGACCCCAGAAAUCAUGCAGUCCAGUCAAAUCUCCCAAAGUAGCAAUUACACAUUGAAGAGGGGGCUUUUACAGUAUAGUUUUGCAUCAUCUUUCGCAAAAUAAGUUAAUGCGAUUUCCAAAGCUUUUGCAAAUAUAAACUUGGAACUCUAAGAUAAUCGGACUGAUUUGUCUUUGAUCUGCUCUGUUUGCAAAGAGAAUCUUUUUCCAGUAUGAAUAUGUAAGUCAUAUUAGAAACGAAAUAAAAAUUCAUUAAUCACUUAUAUCGACUGCCCACCAUUAGGAGAGAUGCACAAAGGAUGUUUGAGAUAAUCUUUGCUCUCAAGAAGUUUAUCAUCUUCUUGAGGGGAACAAACUACAGUUAAAAUUAAAUUCCUUACAAACAAGGGAAUAUGUGUGCAAAUUGAGUAAAAGAUCAUUCCUGUUGGGCUAAAAUAGCAUAAUAGAACAUGGAUCAUUAUACUUCCUCUGCCUCUUCGUUUUGCACAAACUGCAAUGUUUAGGGAUCACUCCUGGUUUCUGGCUGAAAGAAAUGUGAGUGUGGCGGGGUGGGUGGUAUUAUCUGUUGUAUUUUGUCAGGAUCAGGGAAGCCGAGAGUGAGUAGGUGGGUUGUGUGAGGGAAUAAUGGUGAUGACAUCUUGGUGUCUGUUUCCCUCUUGGAACCUUGGAAUGGUUUGAAGCCCUAAGAUUGCAGGGUGACAACCAGAAGCUGGGAGUCUCUUAGAAGACUCCAUGGGCUCCAGGGAUAAGCCUUGCUGCUUUGGAACCCAGGGGAUAAAAUGAGACGAGGAGUUGAGAUGACCAUUGUCCCCACUUCUGCACAAAAACUCCUACAUCUCUGACACCCUGGAGAUUAACCCUUGCUCGGAGCAUUAGAAGACAGCACCCUUGAUGUGGACAUUGUGGCUUCUCGAGGAGCAGGGGCAGCAGUUGACAUCUGUAAGUCCUCUCCAGGAAGCUUCAGGGUGGUGGGUAUUGAUAAGAAGGAGCCAAAGGGGGAAAGCGCACCACAUGGGGCUGUAUUGUUUUCCCUGUGAGAUGCACGGAACAUCCCUUUCCUCAAUUCUGUAGGCUUUGGAGUUGGACACUGAGGUCCACUAUCCAUGAGUUGAAGGCUCAGAGCCACUGUAAUUUAGGAAUCAUUUGUUCCCUCAGGCGGUGGAAGCCUGCAACAUAUGCUCACCACUGCAUGAAUGUGAAGGGCCCAACCUAGAAUGCUGUUCAGGUAGUUAAAAGAGGAAUCUGAGGAUCCUGCCACUUUUGAGUAUUUACUACCAUAUUUCAUCAAUUCUAAGACACAUUUUUUUUCAUGUUAGCAUAUUUGAAAUUGGUGUGCAGCUGACCCUCGGAUCACUCAGAGACAGUCAGAACAUAGCUCUCGUCGCCUGCACAUUAAAACCUGCACACUGGUGUCACUGGCUUGGAAGAAAAUCUGAGACAAUAGCAAAAUACACUUUUAAGAAACGCUGCACCAUCAAUGCUCUGGAUUGCAGGAAGGAGCGAUCGCACUGUGUGAAAAAGCACACACAUCAAUGACUCCAAGUGGAAAAGCGAUUAGCAAGAGUUAAACUCUGC